rnacentral:rRNA from 1 species
CCUACGGGUGGCAGCAGUCGGGAAUAUUGCGCAAUGGAGGAAACUCUGACGCAGUGACGCCGCGUAUAGGAAGAAGUUUUUCGGAAUGUAAACUAUUGUCGAUAGGGAAGAGAAAGGACAGUAGUAACGGAGGAAGCACCGGCUAACCACGUGACAGCAGCCGCGGUAAUACGUAGGCAGCGAGCGUUAGACGGAGUGAUUGGGUGUAAAGGGUGCGUAGACGGGAAAGGAAGUUAGUUGUGAAAGCCUUGGGCUUAACUUAGGAAAGGCAAUUAAAACUAUUUUUCUAGAGUGCAGGAGAGGAAAGUAGAAUUCCUGGUGUAGCGGUGAAAUGCGUAGAUAUUAGGAGGAACACCGGUGGCGAAGGCGACUUACUGGACGGUAACUGACGUUGAGGCGCGAAAGUGUGGGGAGCAAACAGGAUUAGAUACCCGUGUAGUC